rnacentral:rRNA from 1 species
CCUACGGGGGGCAGUAGUGGGGAAUAUUGGACAAUGGGGGCAACCCUGAUCCAGCCAUGCCGCGUGUGUGAAGAAGGCCCUCGGGUUGUAAAGCACUUUCAGUGAGGAAGAACGCCUGGUGGUUAAUACCCAUCAGGAAAGACAUCACUCACAGAAGAAGCACCGGCUAACUCCGUGCCAGCAGCCGCGGUAAUACGGAGGGUGCGAGCGUUAAUCGGAAUUACUGGGCGUAAAGCGCGCGUAGGUGGCUUGAUAAGCCGGUUGUGAAAGCCCCGGGCUCAACCUGGGAACGGCAUCCGGAACUGUCAAGCUAGAGUGCAGGAGAGGAAGGUAGAAUUCCCGGUGUAGCGGUGAAAUGCGUAGAGAUCGGGAGGAAUACCAGUGGCGAAGGCGGCCUUCUGGACUGACACUGACACUGAGGUGCGAAAGCGUGGGUAGCAAACAGGAUUAGAUACCCGAGUAGUC